GCACAAGCAGUGGAGUAUGUGGUUUAAUUCGAAGCAACGCGAAGAACCUUACCAGGUCUUGACAUCCCGAUGACCGCCUUAGAGAUAAGGCUUUUCUUCGGAACAUUGGUGACAGGUGGUGCAUGGUUGUCGUCAGCUCGUGUCGUGAGAUGUUGGGUUAAGUCCCGCAACGAGCGCAACCCUUACGGUUAGUUGAUACGCAAGAUCACUCUAGCCGGACUGCCGUUGACAAAA
rnacentral:rRNA from 1 species